rnacentral:rRNA from 1 species
AUUGAACGCUGGCGGCAGGCCUAACACAUGCAAGUCGAGCGGGGUUUUCGGACCUAGCGGCGGACGGGUGAGUAAUGCGUAGGAAGCUACCCGAUAGAGGGGGAUACCAGUUGGAAACGACUGUUAAUACCGCAUAAUGUCUACGGACCAAAGUGUGGGACCUUCGGGCCACAUGCUAUCGGAUGCGCCUACGUGGGAUUAGCUAGUUGGUGAGGUAAUGGCUCACCAAGGCGACGAUCCCUAGCUGGUUUGAGAGGAUGAUCAGCCACACUGGAACUGAGACACGGUCCAGACUCCUACGGGAGGCAGCAGUGGGGAAUAUUGGACAAUGGGCGCAAGCCUGAUCCAGCCAUGCCGCGUGUGUGAAGAAGGCCUUCGGGUUGUAAAGCACUUUCAGCGAGGAGGAAGGGGUGAGUGUUAAUAGUACUCAUCUUUGACGUUACUCGCAGAAGAAGCACCGGCUAACUCUGUGCCAGCAGCCGCGGUAAAAC